rnacentral:rRNA from 1 species
GACGAACGCUGGCGGCGUGCUUAACACAUGCAAGUCGAACGGAAAGGCCCUGCUUUUGUGGGGUGCUCGAGUGGCGCACGGGUGAGUAACACGUGAGUAACCUGCCCUUGACUUUGGGAUAACUUCAGGAAACUGGGGCUAAUACCGGAUAGGAGCUCCUGCUGCAUGGUGGGGGUUGGAAAGUUUCGGCGGUUGGGGAUGGACUCGCGGCUUAUCAGCUUGUUGGUGGGGUAGUGGCUUACCAAGGCUUUGACGGGUAGCCGGCCUGAGAGGGUGACCGGGGACAUUGGGACUGAGAUACGGCCCAGACUGGUACGUGAGGCAGCAGUGGGGAAUAUUGCACAAUGGGCGGAAGCGUGAUGCAGCAACGCCGCGUGCGGGAUGACGGCCUUCGGGUUGUAAACCGCUUUCGCCUGUGACGAAGCGUGAGUGACGGUAAUUGGUAAAGAAGCACCGGCUAACUACGUG